UACGUAGGGGGCAAGCGUUGUCCGGAAUUAUUGGGCGUAAAGCGCGCGCAGGCGGUCAUCUAGGUCUGGCGUUUAAUCCUAGGGCUCAACCCUAGGUCGCACUGGAAACUGGGUGACUUGAGUACAGCAGAGGAAAGUGGAAUUCCACGUGUAGCGGUGAAAUGCGUAGAGAUGUGGAGGAACACCAGUGGCGAAGGCGACUUUCUGGGCUGUAACUGACGCUGAGGCGCGAAAGCGUGGGGAGCAAACCGG
rnacentral:rRNA from 1 species